GACGAACCGCCCAAACGUUGUUCGGAAUCACUGGGCUUAAAGGGCGCGUAGGCGGCAUUCCAAGUCAGGGGUGAAAUCCGGCAGCUCAACUGUCGAAGUGCCUUUGAUACUGGAGUGCUCGAGGGAGGUAGGGGUCUGUGGAACUUCUGGUGGAGCGGUGAAAUGCGUUGAUAUCAGAAGGAACGCCGGUGGCGAAAGCGACGGACUGGACCUUUUCUGACGCUGAGGCGCGAAAGCUAGGGGAGCAAACGGG
rnacentral:rRNA from 1 species